AAAAAAAAUAAGAAAAGCAAAAGUCGGAAAAGCAAUGAGGGGUAAAAGAAAUCUGCUGAGAUGAAAAAUUCCUAAGAGGUCGCAAAAGAAGUGAAGGGAACCUACUGGGGGCAUCAUUAGUAAGAUACUAAACUUGAUUCAUGCAAGGAGAGAUGCAGAAAGACCUUUACAACAAAGAUUUACAAGAGGUGAUAAAGAAGCCUCAAGGCAAAGCCACAAACAGCCUGAGUUAAUCAAUGAUGGGACAUUAUUAGAACCAUAAGAGGCAGAAUCACAUAGCUGUUUUGAUAUGGAUUUCCGGGUAGGAAUCAGCAAACUCUGGCCCCUGGGCCAAAUCUGGCCUGCAGCCCCUUUCUGUGAGCAUAUAACUGACAUACAGCCAUGCCCAUUCAUAGAAUGACCGAGAAAAUCAGGAGAACGAUUUCACAAGUGAGCAGGUCGCUCAGAGGACGCUGCGGCAGGGGUGUGCGGCAGCGCCCAUAUCCUCUGCAGGCGCAGCGAGGGGCACCUCACCUCGCAGGCGGCAGCAGCGACUUGAACCCCACUUUCCUGAAUUAGGUUUGCUGAACACGGUUCAGAUUAUUGGAUAUGUCAAUAUGCACAAUGCCUUUUAGAAGCAUUUACUGUAACCCAAAUCCUACUUCAUGUGACACACAGUGUCACACGAGUAGUGAAAAUGUUGUACUAGUCAAAGGUGCUUGGACGUUAUUUUCAGGCAGCAUUUUACCUUUAUUUUAAGUUCACGCUAGGUAAGUUUUAGGAGAAAGAAAAUGCCAAUAAAUUCAUUUAAUAUAU
ensembl:lncRNA